UCUCUGAUGGUCCAAUAGCUGGGACUCCAGCUACCAAAGCAGGAGGCAGAGGUUCAAUCCCUGUUUAGGGAA
rnacentral:tRNA from 1 species